rnacentral:rRNA from 1 species
AACGAACGCUGGCGGCAUGCCUAACACAUGCAAGUCGAACGAGACCUUCGGGUCUAGUGGCGCACGGGUGCGUAACGCGUGGGAACCUGCCCUUAGGUUCGGAAUAACUCCCCGAAAGGGGUGCUAAUACCGGAUAAUGUCUUCGGACCAAAGAUUUAUCGCCUUUGGAUGGGCCCGCGUUGGAUUAGCUAGUUGGUAGGGUAAAAGCCUACCAAGGCGACGAUCCAUAGCUGGUCUGAGAGGAUGAUCAGCCACACUGGGACUGAGACACGGCCCAGACUCCUACGGGAGGCAGCAGUGGGGAAUAUUGGACAAUGGGCGAAAGGCUGAUCCAGCAAUGCCGCGUGAGUGAUGAAGGCCUGAGGGUUGUAAAGCUCUUUUAACCGGGAUGAUAAUGACAGUACCGGGAGAAUAAGCUCCGGCUAACUCCGUG